GCAAAUGACAUGAGAAAACUUUCAGUGAGUUAUCAGCACACAUUACAUUUUCAGUGCUUUUACAAAGAAAAAAGGUGAUCUGUUUCAUUAAACAUUGAAUUGGCUAAUUCUUGCUCUAAUGUGGCUUUAAUGUCGCACAUACAAUUUGUACAAUCCCUGAUAUAGCAGCCCUAAGAUGAUUUAAAAAUUUAGAAUGCUGUGUGUGUUUCUUAUUUGAUAAUCUUCAUUGAUUGUACUGCAUUUAAUGAGUAUUAAAUAGUGCAUUUUCUGUACACUAUAGGAUUUAGUCUGUGUUUGUAUUUUAUAAUUUGCAUAAAUUGAGCUGACUGAAAUAAGAUUUUGUUCCAGGUAUUCUAGGAUACAAUACAAGAUGAUGCAAAAUUGUGUUUAAAGCUCUUACGCUGUUUAAAAAAAAAAAUUACGACUGCUUUUUGCCAUGUUUCUCUCCCCCACCUAAAAGUAAUGAGUACUGAACAUGACUGGCAUAUUUUUAGGGCUUUGGUAUGUGGUACUACAGAAUACUGAUUGGACAGCAAUUUUAGUCACUUAACCUCCACCAACUAAAAGUUAGCUCCUAAUUCUAAGUUGUCUUAAAAUGCACAUACACUUGUGCAUGUAAAAGCAAGAUGAAUUCAGGUUGUCCUGCUUGCUAAUUUAAAAUGCUAGAGUGUAGCAAAGGAUGAACAUACUUUAGACCCUUUAAUUCUAAAAUGUUUGAAGACCAAAUAGCUACUCCUUCAACAAUAUUUAUCAAUGGAUUAAGAACUGAAGUUUAAGAUUGAACGGAUUUCUCUUUUUUGGGAUCCUGUCCUGCAGCUUUUUAAGUGUCCCUCUGUAUUUAGAUUUGCAGGUUUUAAACAGUACUGUUAAAGUGAUAAACCUGAGAGUAUGCUGAGUGUCCUUUUCAGGUUGCCUGCCUGCUCUUGUGUUCAGGUAAUUACACCAUAAUUAAGCAGAGUUGGGUAUCAUCAAACUGCCAAAUUUGGCAUAGAUAAUAGUUAUUUAAUCUGUACCUAUCUAAACUUCAUGAUAUUUAAAGACUAUUACCACAGAUAACUUGUGAUAAAACUAUUGAGGUAUAUUAAAAAGUUUUAAAUCACCACUGUUACCUGUUGCAGAAAAUAGUACUGACUUAGUCUAGUCUGUAACUGGUUAAAGUUCGGUGGCUUGUCAAUAUUCAACUAGGUAUGUAUAUAAAAAUUAGAAAAUACAUAUCUACCUGGAUAUGAAUAUUAAGUAGAACUUUUCCUUCUAUAUAAUUUGUAGCUCAUCUUUCAUCUUUAAUCCUUUCAUAACUUGUUGCUGCAGUUUGAAUUUCUCAGAUGUUUAUAUUUGGACACACGGCUCAGAAUACUUAUUUAAACAUCAUUAGCUGUAUAUAUUUUUAAAGCAGAAUAAAUACUGGAAAGGGACUUGAUAUGCAAGUUUAUACUAAAAUUCCAACUGUGUGAAGAUAACAUUUAAAGAUAUUACUUUGCUAAUAAUCUAAACAUUCUUUUUAUUAAAGAAGCAGAUGGUCUGGGGUUCACAGCUUUCAUCCUGGCUUGAUGAUAAUCAACUUUGAAAACACAGUGGACUGGAAAGCAAUUAAAAUUGCUUUAAGUUCUUUUAAAGAUUUCCUUUAAAUCUCUACUAUCCAGUUUUGCUUCAGUUUGUAAAUGUGUAACAUUUAUGGUUAAAUAGGACAAAGCAGACCCUAUUGACUAUUGUUUUCAAAAAUUAAACAAAUUGAUAUAUAAAUUAUUUAGAGGGCAUUUUCAUUUACUUUUGGAAAGAAAAAUUUGUCUAAAUGACACAUGCUGGUUCUGCAGGAUUGUACCAAUCAAUUCUUGUAGAAUAAAAAAAAAAUCUUUCAACAAACUGACUUCACUUAUUUCUGUCAAGAUUUAAGUCUUUUUAAAGCUCCUUACCAACUUAGGCCUUGGGGUGC
rnacentral:lncRNA from 1 species